rnacentral:rRNA from 1 species
UACAGAGGUCCCAAGCGUUGUUCGGAUUCACUGGGCGUAAAGGGUGCGUAGGCGGUCGGGUAAGUCUGACGUGAAAUCUCCGGGCCUAACCCGGAAACUGCGUCGGAUACUAUCCGGCUAGAGGAUUGGAAGGGAGACUGGAAUACUUGGUGUAGCAGUGAAAUGCGUAGAUAUCAAGUGGAACACCAAUGGCGAAGGCGAGUCUCUGGACAAUUCCUGACGCUGAGGCACGAAAGCCAGGGGAGCAAACGGG